UUGAGUAGAGUCCUGAAACAA
rnacentral:piRNA from 1 species